rnacentral:lncRNA from 1 species
CCUCUCUCCCCCUCUCCCUCUCCCGCUUUUCCCCUCUCUUCUUCUCUCCUGUUCCUGGGGUGAUACCUUAGGAACUGUGCAUGGGCAAAGCAAUCAGUGACAACAGUAGUUUCAGGUAAUAAUGACCUUUGUUCUUGGGGAAUGCAAAACUGAAAAACAUCUCAUGAUGAGGUAGGCGAUUUAAAUAAGAUGUGCACCAUCUGGUCACGGACACCCAGCUUUAAGAAGGUGCCUACCAAUCCAGGAUCACCCUCCUCCUGUAUAAACGGCAGAUAACAGCUUCCAGGGAAAGGGAAUGACAGAGAAGCAGCUGCCUCUGGAAAACUGGAUAAAGCAAGAGGACACUAUGUUGUGCGCUAGGCAGACUGAAUCUUUUGGGAUUGAACUCCAGACCUUGCACUUCUGAGGCAGGCGGCGGCACCACUGAGCUAAAUCCCCUGCCCUUGGAAGCUACUUUUUAAAAGGCCAAAUCCUAAAAUCUCUGCAGAUUUUGGAUAUUUACAGUGAGCGAAUAUGUAAGGAUUUCAGGUGGAUCAAUCAGAGAUAGCAGCAAGAAAGUGUUGGCAGCGAUACAGACUAAGAUGAAAAAGUUGCUAUGAUUCCCUGCAUGAGUGGACUCAGGCUAUCUGUGCUAAUCAAAUCAUCAUGACGGAAACAAUAUGAUAAAUCAAUGGCUCCUUAAUAAUUAAAGUGUGAUUUCUAAUCAUAAAUUGUAAUAGAGGAAAUUAAGUCAUACUUCUGAGGCACAUAUGUGAAAAAGACCAUAGUUUCCAGAAUCUAUGCUAAAUAAUUGUAUUAAAAUAGAUUUUACACCCAUUAAAGCUAGUAAGCAUAUCAAAUCAUUCUGGACACACAUGCUGUUCUACUUAUAUUAUUUUGAAAUGUUUUCAGAAUAUAAAAAAAAAG